AGUGAACGCUGGCGGCGUGCCUAAUACAUGCAAGUCGAACGGACGAGUAAGAGCUUGCUCUUAUGAGUUAGUGGCGCACGGGUGAGUAAUGUAUAGCUAAUCUGCCCUACACUAGAGGACAACAGUUGGAAACGACUGCUAAUACUCUAUACUCCUCUCUAGCAUAAGUUAGAUAGGGAAAGUUUUUCGGUGUAGGAUGAGGCUAUAUUGUAUCAGCUAGUUGGUGAGGUAAUGGCUCACCAAGGCUAUGACGCAUAACUGGUCUGAGAGGAUGAUCAGUCACACUGGAACUGAGACACGGUCCAGACUCCUACGGGAGGCAGCAGUAGGGAAUAUUGCUCAAUGGGGGAAACCCUGAAGCAGCAACGCCGCGUGGAGGAUGACACUUUUCGGAGCGUAAACUCCUUUUGUUAGGGAAGAACAAUGACGGUACCUAACGAAUAAGCACCGGCUAACUCCGUGCCAGCAGCCGCGGUAAUACGUAGGGCGCGAGCGUUGUCCGGAAUUAUUGGGCGUAAAGAGCUUGUAGGCGGUUUGUCGCGUCUGCUGUGAAAGGCCGGGGCUUAACCCCGUGUAUUGCAGUGGGUACGGGCAGACUAGAGUGCAGUAGGGGAGACUGGAAUUCCUGGUGUAGCGGUGGAAUGCGCAGAUAUCAGGAGGAACACCGAUGGCGAAGGCAGGUCUCUGGGCUGUAACUGACGCUGAGAAGCGAAGGCAUGGGGAGCGAACAGG
rnacentral:rRNA from 1 species